ACAGUGUCUGGUGGGUAGUUUGACUGGGGCGGUCUCCUCCUAAAGAGUAACGGAGGAGCACGAAGGUUGGCUAAUCCUGGUCGGACAUCAGGAGGUUAGUGCAAUGGCAUAAGCCAGCUUGACUGCGAGCGUGACGGCGCGAGCAGGUGCGAAAGCAGGUCAUAGUGAUCCGGUGGUUCUGAAUGGAAGGGCCAUCGCUCAACGGAUAAAAGGUACUCCGGGGAUAACAGGCUGAUACCGCCCAAGAGUUCAUAUCGACGGCGGUGUUUGGCACCUCGAUGUCGGCUCAUCACAUCCUGGGGCUGAAGUAGGUCCCAAGGGUAUGGCUGUUCGCCAUUUAAAGUGGUACGCGAGCUGGGUUUAGAACGUCGUGAGACAGUUCGGUCCCUAUCUGCCGUGGGCGCUGGAGAACUGAGGGGGGCUGCUCCUAGUACGAGAGG
rnacentral:rRNA from 1 species